UCCACCGAUAUCUCACAUUUUAGUCUCUCCUUGUGAGUAUUGCGCACUCCUCCUUGACAAGAGACGAAGAUUGCUAUGGACGAAAACCAAAUCUUCCGCAUGUUUUGGAGUUAGCUUAUUUCGUUUAAGAGAGUGCAAAAAGGAAUAAGUACUCCAAUUUCGCUCACAACACGAUGAAGAAGAUGGUUGUCCCAAUAAUUUCAAAGCAUAACUUUGAAGCAUAGGUGUGCAAGCACC
rnacentral:lncRNA from 1 species